rnacentral:sRNA from 1 species
GGCUGUUCCCCUCUGGAGGUUUUGAAACCUUCAUACCUACGGGCCGCGGUUCUUCCGUCGGCCCAUUUUUUUGCCCGCG